CCCCGCCCGCGGCCCCGGCUCCAACCCCCCCGGGGGGGAUGGGCACGUGGGUUGGGUCACGUGACUGUUGCCCGGUUGCUAGGCGACGGCGUCCGGCUGCUAGCGCCUUAGUCCCGCAACUGCCCGGGUAGUUCCCGGCACCGCUGGAGAACAUUCAGAUUUGCGUCGCAAAGGGCACAAUAUCUCGCCGAGUUGAAGUUCCUGCAAGUGGGCUGAUGGGAGAACUUGGGAGAACGUCCAGGUACAAACUGCAGAUGCGGCAACAGCUGUGUCUCAUCCCAGAGGGCACCCUCUCUCCUCCCUCCUUCUCCGGUGAAAGUGGAGACAGUUGCGGACCUCAGAGGAUCCUUGUGAGGAUAAAUGAACUAAUUCAUGUUGAAGAAAAAAUGAUUCUGACACUUGCUAAAAUGGAGGGGAGAGACCACGUGGAAACUUGAAAAACUGCCUGGGUGGGUCCUGAGAUCAUAUCAAGACACAUACUCUCUCCAGAUACAAAGAAGGACUUUUCUAGAUCCUAGAGAUGUUUAAUCCAAACCUGCAGGUGUGUAAUAAAACCGUGAUCACCUCGUAAGGAGAAAAUGCAAAACAACUCCUGGGAUUAGCGCUGACAUUUAGUAAGUACUGUUUUGUGGCAGACAGUGUGAAAAGUGCUCAUAGUAAAUGUUCGCAACAACUGCUGUGGUGUAGGUGCCAUUCUCCUCCUGAUUUACAGUAAGAUGACCGAGGCUAAGAGAAGUUAAGACACUUGCCCAAAGGCACAUCACUAGUUGGUAUGAAACUGGGCUGGGGACCAAGGAGGUCUGGUUCCACGGCUGUGACAUUCAGCCACUCAGCUCCACAGCCCACAUCACAGGAAAAUACAGCCCAGGCUGAGAUGCAAAGGAUGAAGCAAGGCAAGGAGGGGAAGACAGAUUGGAGCCAGAUGAAGCACAAGGCUGGGCCUAUGGAAUGUCCCUGCAGCUCACACAGUGACACUGCAUUCACCCCGACCAGCUGGGGCCGGAGGCACUCCGGGAUGGGGGUGGGGCAGAGUGCGAGCAGACCCAGCAGGGGUGGGGAGGGAGCCCACAGGGAAAAAGGAAAGUGAAACUGUUCUUAAAGCCAGAGUUCCUGCCAUGAUCUAUCCUGACUGUGGAAAGACAAGGGGACCCCCACAAGGCACAUUCCACAAGGCUUUGGGGUCAUUUUUAGGGAGUACACUUCUGGAAGUCAAGUUUAAAUUUUUCAUGUCCCUCACCAAUCCUGUCUGUCUCAGCCGAGUUUUAUCUUCAUACCUUCAACAAAGAAAAUGACAUCACACAACAAUGUGAAUGUACUUGACAUUACUGAACUGUACACUUUAAAAUGGUUGGGAUGGUAAAUUUUAUGUUAUGUACUUUUUUUUUUAUCAUAAUUGAAAACAAAACAAAAAACUGACAUGCAGAAUAGAUUCAUUCAUUUAUUCAUUCAGUCAUUAAGGGAAUAGUUAUUGAACACCUACUUGGGUGAAUAUCUAGGAAUGGAGUGGCCGGACCACACGGUACGUGUAUACUUAAAUUUUUAAGAAAUCGUCAAACCGUUUCCAAGGCCGUGGUGCCGUCCUAGUUUUUCUUCGUAGCACUUAUCAAUACGUGACGGUGUUGCCCUAUCAAUUUACUUGUCACCUUGUUUAUUGUCUGUCCCCCCAUCUAGACUGCAAGCCCUAGGAGGGGCUUGCAACCUUGACACUUGCCUGGUGCAUAGCAGGAGCUCAGGGAAUACACCAGCUGAACCAGUACGUGUGCACCACUUCCUCCCAUCACGGGCACCAGGGAAGACCUGCCACCCAACUCUCCGCUUGUCCUCAGGGUGCCACUGAUAUAGUCCAGGUUCUGCCCUGGAAGCCACUCAGUCAAUGUUGUUGGUUAUGCAAAUGGCCGAUGAAGCAACCACUGCCGUUUCUUCCCCAUAGUUGCUUGUGUCCUUCAGAUAAAGAUAUUAUUUGGAUCCCUGCUCUGCCUCGCCUCCUCCUAGCAGAGUGAUCUUAAAGCUUAGGGUGAUGGUGGGGAUCCUGUGAGAUAGUUUACACAGCACGCCUGGCACAGCUCCUGGCACUUUGUAAAUGCUCAGUAAGCAAAUAGCUGCCCUGCUGCUAUGAAAAAACCACAGCAUCUUCCAGGGUCUCUCAGGAUCUCCUGGCCCCUGAUAAACACCUGCUGAAUUGGAGCAGCAGAGAAAGGCCCCUUGGAUGGGGAGAAGACGCCCAUAGCCCUUUCCUAUGAGCAAAGCCUGGGAGAUGGACCUCAGUGUUGCAGUAUGCUGCCGCCUUCCCAACCUUGACCCCCUCAGCACUGCCACUCUGUAUCUAUGUGACCUUGGGUUAGUUGCUUAAUCUCUCUGAAUUUUUUUCUGCAUCUAGAAAAUGGGGACAGUGAUAGUCAGUCCCCAGGCAGUGUGAGGCACAAAGGAGGCACUGAAUAUGAAAAGGCUUUGGAAUGAUUUCCAGCUGUCCUUUGGUCCACAGUGUACUAGACACCCAACAAUUCUGAUGUGAUCCGGCCACUUCCUUCCCUGAGUGGGUACAUCAAACUGGAAGAAACAGAGCAGAGAAAAUAACCCAAACACCGUCUGAAAGUCACAGGCACCUGUGAGAGAGCAGGCCCUCCAUAGGAAGCUCAUCAGAGAGGGGCCUAGAAGGCAGAGCCGUGGACCCUGGGUGCCACCAGGAUUCAUGCUGGAUCGGGAUUCGAUCUGGAGACCUUGCCUCCAGUGCUUCUUGGCUUGACCCAGACACACUGGCUCUGUGUUUCCUGGCCUAAGGUCUGGCAGGAUGGGGGAAAGCCCGGGUGUUGUUGGUCAGGGUUGUUCCUUGUAUCUGAGGAUGUGAUCUUUUCUCUUUCUGAGCAAAGACAGCAGGAAAGGAGGAGCAGAAGUGAAGGAACCGAGUGGAACCCUGUAGGGUUAGUGUCGGGGCAUCUCUCUUAGGCUCUCAGAUCCUGCGGCCCGUUCUCUGGUUGAUGCCAAAAUUCUGAAAGUGUCGGAGAUCAUUAUGACUUGUCAGUAAGAUCGGCCGUGUCCACACGUCAUUCACUCGGAGCCGGGCAAGGGAUGUGAUCCUGCGGAAGCACAUGCCCGGGGGGCGUUAGGGUGGGCGAUUCUGCUCCUUUCCUCUUCCUGGGUUUUCUGGAGGAGCGUGGACAUUGCUGGGAGGUGUGAGAGCCCCCUCUCCAGAGAGGCAUUUGUGUGUGUGACUGGUCAAAAGCGGGGGGGGGGGGGGGCUGAUUCUGAAAUACUUGUCCCGCUGGCACAGAAUUGGAACUGACGGCAGCGUCCACCGCUAACUUUUAUAGGCCACGGUCAGGCUCCUUAAAUACUCCUCCUUGAGCCUUAAAACGCAGCCAAUAAUUCCUAAUGUUCCUGUUGCUUUGCCGCCUCAUCAGGGUCCUAUGAAAAUCACUGCUGGGUGAGCCCCAUCCUGGGACGGCCUCACCGAACACUUAAUGAUAUUACCCUGUCCCUCCAGAGGCCGGUGUGCUCAAGUCAGCCAUCAGAGAACCCAUCGGAAUGCCCUGUGGACCCCUUGGUGAGCGUGAAAAAGGCAGAAAGGAAAUUGCCUGUGCCCUGCCGUGUCCCAGGAAACAGUGGUCGUGUUAGACACCAGCCAGAAAGAAAGCGACAGAAGUGGAGGUUGCCAAGGACAAAGCCAGCCCCCCCUGCACUCUAAUUCUCUGUCCUGUGGCAUUUUCUUCAUCCAUACUCCAGCAAUCCUCUGUAUUUUUAUUGAAGUAUAGUUGAUGUACAAUGUUGUGUUAAUUUCUGCUGUACAGCAAAGUGAUUCAAUUAUAUGUUCAGUUAUAUAUAUAUACACAUUCUUUUUCACGUUCUUUUCUGUUAUGGUUUAUCAUAGCAUAUUGAGUAUAGUUCCCUGUGCUCUGCAGUAGGAGCUUCUUGUUCAUCCAUCCUGUAUAUAGGGAUUUGCAUCUGCGAAUCCCAAACUCCCAAUCCAGCAAUCCUCUCAUGUCACCGUGUGUAUGCAUGUGUGUGUGUGCGCGCGCGCACACGCACGAGUGAGCUCCCAGGCCGUCACUAAAUGUGUGUUGACUGCCUCUCGCCUCCCCCUGCCUGUGCCGGUUCUGUCCCUCUGUCCCGGUUCUGUCCGGAGUUCAGGCUGCUGCCUCCUCUCCUCUGUCGGGCCUCCCAUCUCUCCACAUGGGUAGGUUGGAAUUCCAAAGGAGGCAUCUGAGGGCUCCGGCCGCGCCUUAAUGAUCGCUCAGAAACCCAGACAAGGCCAGUUAUGGCUGCUGAGGCCUGCAGCCCCCAAGAUACCUGUCUGCAGUGGGGUUUAUCUUGGUGUUUGCUUUCACCCGCUGCCCGCCGCUGGCUCACCGCCGAUGGCCUUCAGUCUCUGCGGCAGGCAGGAGAGAUAAGAGAAGAAUGAGGACGCCGUGGUGGGGCUGGGCAGGGUGCCUCCAUGGUUCCACCAGUUGGAAAGCCCCUGGGAGAAAUCCCGAACUCUUUCCUCUCUGAGGAGUCCCCCAGGAGGCGGCCUGAAGGUGAGUGCAUGACCUUCGGCUCAGGCAGCCCAGGGCUGGGACCUGCCGGCAGAGCUCCUGCCCACCCCACCAGAUGGCCCUGACAGCAGCCUUGAUGGUCCUGGGUGAGCUGCACAGUCCUGUGAUGGGCGGAGUGGUGUGGUUGGGUGCAGGGGUGAGGAUCGGUGACCCACUCCCAGUAGGUGCUUAGUGAACUGCUGGCCUUUGAGAGGAACGUGGGGUUGGUGGACAUAAUCAGGUUUCAGACUCAGAGAGGCUCGGGUAGGGUCCCUGGCACUGCCACUAAAUAACUGUGUCACUUUGGACAAGUGGCCUUUGUUUCUUAGUGCCUUAGUUUUCCUCCUCUGCAGAAUGGGCUCUAACAAUUUCCGGCUACACCAGAGGAUGGGUGCCCCAUGCAGGGGACUCAGCUCAAUAAACAGAGGUCGGGGUUUUCUUUGGAUGAAUGCAUUUCCUCUCUAACCCUGGAUUUCACUCUGUGCUGGGUGCUGACACAAGGUCAAGGCUGGGAACACAGCGGGACAGUUCAGGACCACAAUGUGCAGAACUGACUAACCUGCCCUGCUGCUCUGACCAGUCACCAGUGUGGAAGGAGCCCGGGUGUCCUGAGGCUGGUCCAGUGGCACAGACAGAACUUCACGUCCAGACACUCCUCCGGGCACACCAAGGCACCCAUGCCCACAUACGUGACAGAUGGUGGCCGCUGCUGCCACCUGAUGCUAAGGCUAGCAAACAGACUGUGGAAGCCCAGUGCUUCGCGACACACCACAGACAAUGCUACCACACACCCAGGUGUUGUGAUCCAGAUCUGGAGCUGGGGAGCCCAGCUCCAGGAGCCUUCCUGUGAUGGUGAGUUUUCUCUGUCAACUUGGCCAGGCUGUCGUACCCAAGGAUUUAAUCACACACUGAUCUAGGUGCUGCUGUGAAGGCAUUUUGCAGAUGUGGUCAACAUCGACAAGCAGUUGACUUCAAGUAAAGGAGGUGGACGUGCCAGAAUGUGGGUGGGCCUCACCCAAUCAGGUGAACGCCAUCAGAGCAAAAACUGCGGUCUUAGGGAACAAGAAAUGUGACCUUGGGGCUCCCCUGGUGGCGCAGUGGUUGAGAGUCCGCCUGCUGGUGUAGGGGACACGGGUUCGUGCCCCAGUCUGGGAGGAUCCCACAUGCUGCAGAGCGGCUGGGCCCGUAAGCCAUGGCCGCAGAGCCUGCGCGUCUGGAGCCUGUGCUCCGCAAUGGGAGAGGCCACAACGGUGAGAGGCCCGCGCACCGCAAAAACAAACAAACAAACAA